rnacentral:lncRNA from 1 species
GCUCCGUGUUAGGUUAAUGUGCUAGGAGACACUUGUGAGCAAAGUAUGAUCCUCGUGCUCCAAAAGCUCAGAAUCCAGGUUUGUGUCAAGCUGACCAAAACUAACUGCAGGUUAGAACUGAAACUCGACUUCACUCUUAAGAAUUCGGACCCCAGUGACAAAAAGGAAUGACAGACUGCGGGGUGUGAGAGAUGAUGUGGAUUCAAAGACCAAGAGGCUGCAGGAUAAAAACAUGUUUUUUUUU